rnacentral:misc_RNA from 1 species
UGGGAUUGUAGUCCACUACAGUCCAUUUCACCUGCACUGGUGCUCCAAAAGUCGUCUGAAAUGCUGUCUUGCUUUGCUGUUUGGUCUUGAAUUCUCAGACCCUUUGAUGAGUGAUCAACCGCAAGAAUUGUAGAAGGUUUAGCACAGCAUCCAAAACAACCUCUGCUCCCAUGCAUGCAAUAAUAUGACAGAUCCAAGGAGGAAGCAGUCUACAAAGAUACAUUUACAAGCGCCACGACAGAGAUGUUAGCUGCGAAACCCUAAAUCCAGGAAGGAGAGGCCAAACAAUCCUCAAAAAUGGCAUGAUUGGAGAGGGAGAACUAUGGGUUCUUCUCUCCUUCCUGAAACAAUAUUUCUACCCUCUGGCUCUGGUGACUGAACCAACCAAAGGGCUCUCUUUCUCUCUUUCUCUAUCUCCUUUCCCUUUACACCAUGAUUAUAGUCUUUGCGGUUUCUUUAUAUAUUCAUUUAUCUAUUGCUGGCCAAA